GUUCUUCUAGUUUAAUAAAAACAUUUGCCCUGCAAGUAAAUAAUGAAGAAAGUUUCUUCGAAGAACA
rnacentral:tRNA from 1 species